rnacentral:rRNA from 1 species
UAGGGAAUCUUCGGCAAUGGGGGCAACCCUGACCGAGCAACGCCGCGUGAGUGAAGAAGGUUUUCGGAUCGUAAAGCUCUGUUGUAAGAGAAGAACGUGUGUGAGAGUGGAAAGUUCACACAGUGACGGUAACUUACCAGAAAGGGACGGCUAACUACGUGCCG